CACUUAACAGCUAGCCCCUCUUCCAAACACAAAAAACAACCAUUAAUACCCACUAACACACUAAAAUAAACAAAACAAAUCAUUUUUCCUCCAAAGUAUGGGCGACAGAAAAGGACUACAGGAGCUAUAGACAAAGUACCGCAAGGGAAUGCUGAAAGAGAAAUGAAAUAAUUCAGUAAAGUAUAAAAAAGCAAAGAUUAAACCUUGUACCUUUUGCAUCAUGAAUUAGCUAGUAAUUUUUAGGCAAAGAGAACUUUAGUCUAACUUCCCGAAACUAGAAGAGCUACUCCAAGACAGCCUACAUAGGGCACAUCCGUCUCUGUGGCAAAAGAGUGGAAAGAGCUUUGAGUAGAGGUGAUAAACCUACCGAGUCUAGUAAUAGCUGGUUGCCCAAGAAUUGAGUUUAAGCUCAGCCUUUUAACUUCUUAACUCAAUAACUAUAAGAAUUAAACCGACCUAAAGAAGUUAAAAAAGUUAAUCAAAGGGGGUACAGCCCCUUUGAUCAAAGACACAACUUUUAUAGGAGAAUAAGGAUCAUAAUUACUAAGGCAUUGUGUCCAGGUGGGCCUAAAAGCAGCCAUCCUAUUGAAAGCGUUAAAGCUCAAACACAACUCUGCCAUUAAUAUCGAUAACAUAUCCUAAUCCCUAACCUCUACUGGGCCUUUCUAUGCUCACAUAGAAGAGAUUAUGCUAAUAUGAGUAAUAAGGGGCUUAGCCCCCCUCCAAGCACAAGUGUAUAUCAGAACGAACUCUCACCGAAACUUAACGGACCCAACCACAGAGGGUAAUUAGUAUUGAACUAAACAACUAGAAAAACACUUACCACCAAACCGUUAACCCUACACUGGUGUGCUAAAAUGGAAAGACUUACAGAAAGAGAAGGAACUCGGCAAAUCAACAAGCCUCGCCUGUUUACCAAAAACAUCGCCUCUUGCAAAAACAAUGAAUAAGAGGUCCUGCCUGCCCUGUGACUAUAUGUUUAACGGCCGCGGUAUUUUGACCGUGCAAAGGUAGCGCAAUCACUUGUCCUUUAAAUGAGGACCUGUAUGAAUGGCAUAACGAGGGCUUAACUGUCUCCUCUUUCAAGUCAAUGAAAUUGAUCUUCCCGUGCAGAAGCGGGAAUAAAAACAUAAGACGAGAAGACCCUAUGGAGCUUUAGACAUAAAACAGAUCAUGUUAAACAUCUUAAAAUAAAAGAACAAACUAAAUGAGCCCUGUUCAAAUGUCUUUGGUUGGGGCGACCGCGGGGUAACAAAAAACCCCCAUGUGGAAUAAAAAUACCCUUUUUAAAACCAAGAGCCACUGCUCUAAUAAACAGAAAAUCUGACCAAUCAGAUCCGGCUUAGCCGAUCAACGAACCGAGUUACCCUAGGGAUAACAGCGCAAUCCUCUUUUAGAGUCCAUAUCGACAAGAGGGUUUACGACCUCGAUGUUGGAUCAGGACAUCCUAAUGGUGCAGUCGCUAUUAAGGGUUCGUUUGUUCAACGAUUAAAGUCCUACGUGAUCUGAGUUCAGACCGGAGUAAUCCAGGUCAGUUUCUAUCUAUGAAGUGCUCUUUUCUAGUACGAAAGGACCGAAAAGGGGGAGCCCCUGCUAAAAGCACGCUCCACUCUCAUCUAUUGCAUUCAACUAAAAUAGAUAAGAGAACACAAAAAACAGACAAAAAACAUGACAU
rnacentral:rRNA from 1 species